GUGAAUAAUGAGACCAUUCCAAUUGUACUGGAACUCCAUUAAGGAAGAAAAAUGAAGAGAUGCUACAGUCUGCAGACAUUACACAGAGCUUCUCUUCCAGGUCAAGUGGUGAUUUUCACAGGAAGGGCUCUGGAUUUGUGUGACUGCACAUUACAGCAGCAAAAUAAGGAGGCUCUUCAUUAUGGACAGUUAGGGGAGAUGGAGGGUUGUUGCUGUGGUAAUGCAAAGGAGCUUUGUUUGCAGCUACAGCAUAUGCUGAAGGAUGAGAUGGCCAACCUAAGAAAUAUCAACCUCAGAGGAAAACAAGAAGAAGAAGGAAGAGGAGGAGGGAAAAAGAAGGAGGAAGAGGAGGAGGAGGGGGAGGGGGAGGAGGAGGAGGAGGAGGAGAAGAAGAAGAAGAAGAAGAAGAAGGAGAAGAAGAAGAAACACCUCUUAAAACUCAAAGGCAACUACUCUCAACAUGUGUCGAUGUUUGCUCUAUUUCUUGAGACAAUGCUCUGAUAUACUCCACAUGUGUUUUACAUUAUAAUUUCUAUUCAAGAUAGAGGUAUGGGUCACAAAGUGAUUUGCUAUGUCUCAAUGGAAGCUUAUUUGGUCAUUCUCAUAUUGUCAAAAAGUGUUAACAUAGUUUCUAACUUGUAGUAGUGUAAGUAAUGACUUAACAAACAUUUUUGGGUACAGCUUUUUCCUGGUGUUUAUUGCCUUAGGUUCUCAGAAAUGAAAUCAAUUAAUCAAAAGUGGUAUUAAGCUGGCUCUUAAUGACUUAUUAUUAUAUCUCUAGCUUAAGGCAUCUCUCAAUCCUCAUAAGAGGCUCAGUUUCCAGUAGAUGUUGAUUAACACAGAGACUCACAUCUGGCCAAGGAAUAGAGAAUGAGACUGCACAAUACUCAGCCCUAAAGGGAAUGUAUAAGCAGCACUCCCUCUCUUCCCAAAGCUCAAGGAUCAUUGCUUGAAAAGGAGGUAAAAGAGUGUAAGAGCUACAGCGGAACAGAGCAUUUGGACUUAUGAACUUAUUGCAGUUUUGACAGACUCAUGAAAGCACAAACCAGAAAUAAACCCAGCAUGGAGAAGGGCA
rnacentral:lncRNA from 1 species